UACGUAGGUGGCAAGCGUUGUCCGGAAUUAUUGGGCGUAAAGCGCGCGCAGGCGGUCUCUUAAGUCUGAUGUGAAAAGCCCCCCGGCUCAACCGGGGAGGGUCAUUGGAAACUGGGAGACUUGAGUGCAGAAGAGAAGAGUGGAAUUCCACGUGUAGCGGUGAAAUGCGUAGAGAUGUGGAGGAACACCAGUGGCAAAGGCGGACUCUUUGGUCUGUAACUGACGCUGAGGCGGCGAAAAGCGUGGGGAGCAAACAGGG
rnacentral:rRNA from 1 species